rnacentral:rRNA from 1 species
UACGAAGGGUGCAAGCGUUAAUCGGAAUUACUGGGCGUAAAGCGCGCGUAGGUGGUUCAGUAAGAUGGAAGUGAAAGCCCCGGGCUCAACCUGGGAACUGCUUUCAUAACUGCUGAGCUAGAGUACGGUAGAGGGUAGUGGAAUUUCCUGUGUAGCGGUGAAAUGCGUAGAUAUAGGAAGGAACACCAGUGGCGAAGGCGACUGUCUGGUCUGUAACUGACACUGAGGCGCGAAAGCAUGGGGAGCAAACAGG